ACCGCCUUCGUCCAGAGGUUAGGAUGUCUGAUUUUCAACACAUAGUGAGAAUACUCAGAAGACCAGGGUUCGAUCCCCUGAGGCGGUG